rnacentral:precursor_RNA from 14 species
CAUAUUCCCUAAAAAGCUGGCCACCGGGUCCGGGUUUUGUUUUCCUUCAUACCAUGUCCGAAAUAUAGUUUGAAGUAGAAGAGAGCCCCGAUCUGGUGUCUAGCCAGCUCCUUGUCCUAAC